UUGAGUUUGAAGUUUUUAACUCUAGCCUCCCCCAACCUGAUUGGGACUGAAAGACUUUGCUGUUGUUGUGUCUCAAGAAAGCAUAUCACAAAAUCAUACAUAGUACUAAAUUAUACAGAAACCUAUGUGACUGGGAAAUGCAGAUGACUAAACUUGCUUUAUGGCAGACCACAAUUUUUAGGUCGCCUUGUAUAUUGUGCAGUAUUAAGUGACACAUUUAUUUUGAAUGGCUAAAUGACACAUUUGUAUUGCUAUUGAUUUGGAAUGUGAAACAUAAUUGAUGAAGUAAAAGAACACUGCCAAGUGUAGGAGUGACUUACCGGACAAAACUCCCUAGUUGUAGGUUUUAGUUUUGCGCAAUUGGCACUUUCAGCGGAACAUUCUUGACUCAAACACUUUGUGACUGCACAAGAAAAAUAUGAAGGAUAACUAAGUAGAUACAAUUUAGUAAGUAACAGGCA
rnacentral:lncRNA from 1 species